CCGUGCUAGAUGGGGAGUCAGCGGUGCCCUGUAACCUGCAAUCCGCUAUAGCAGGAUUGAAUUCCUCACCUAGGCUUUAGUCUAUAUGGUCUGCCCCUAUGCAAGUGAUGUUGAGGGUGGGGUCCCACGCGACUUAAGACUAUGAACCUCGUCAGGUCCGGAAGGAAGCAGCGAUAAGUAGCCCCUGAGUGUGACGUGGAUAAAUCUAGCCUGAGUUAACUACAUAGGUAACGCAUAUAGAUUACUGCCGAAGUGAGGUGCACGG
rfam:Clostridium disporicum strain 2789STDY5834856 genome assembly, contig: SCcontig000016